rnacentral:rRNA from 1 species
UACGAAGGGUGCGAGCGUUGUUCGGAAUUACUGGGCGUAAAGGGCGCGUAGGCGGCGACCCAAGUCAGAUGUGAAAGUCCUGGGCUUAACCUGGGGACUGCAUUUGAUACUGGGUUGCUUGAAUUCGGGAGAGGAUAGCGGAAUUCCCAGUGUAGAGGUGAAAUUCGUAGAUAUUGGGAAGAACACCGGUGGCGAAGGCGGCUAUCUGGACCGACAUUGACGCUGAGGCGCGAAAGCGUGGGGAGCAAACAGG